UAGCAAUACCGGGAAAAGUUUAGUGGCGAACGGGUGCGUAACACGUGGGCAAUCUGCCGAGAAGUGGGGGACAGCUCGCCGAAAGGCGAAUUAAUACCGCAUGUGGUCAGGGGAGACAUCUUCCCAACACUAAAGCCGGGGCAACCUGGCGCUUUUUGAUGAGCCCGCGGCCUAUCAGCUAGUUGGUGAGGUAACGGCUCACCAAGGCUAUGACGGGUAGCUGGUCUGAGAGGACGACCAGCCACACUGGAACUGAGACACGGUCCAGACACCUACGGGUGGCAGCAGUCGAGAAUUUUUCUCAAUGGGGGAAACCCUGAAGGAGCGACGCCGCGUGGAGGAUGAAGGCUUUCGGGUUGUAAACUCCUGUCAUUUGGGAACAAUGCUACUGGGUUAACUGCCUAGUAGUUGAUAGUACCAGAAGAGGAAGAGACGGCUAACUCUGUGCCAGCAGCCGCGGUAAUACAGAGGUCUCAAGCGUUGUUCGGAUUCAUUGGGCGUAAAGGGUGCGUAGGUGGCGCGCUAAGUCAGGUGUGAAAUUUCGGAGCUUAACUCCGAAACUGCAUUUGAUACUGGCGUGCUUGAGGACUGGAGAGGAGACUGGAAUUCACGGUGUAGCA
rnacentral:rRNA from 1 species